AUGGUUAUCAAUGGUGCAUUUUUCUCCCUCUUCAUUUCAAUCCUCUUUCCUGUUGUGGUGAAGCUCAGAGAAGAAGCUGAAAGUAUACUUUUGAUAAAGCAGUCCCUCUGUGGGUGCAUGAACCAGCCCCAAGCCUGGACACAGAGCACACAAGUAAAAACAAUACUGUCCUCUGAAGUCUGCUCUGAAGUUGACAUCUCACUGAAUGACUUGUUCAGAAUAUACAAAAUGCUUUGGAUCUCUAAGAAUAGCAUCCAGUCUGUUCUAUAGUAGGUCUUUCAGCAGGAGUUAAUUCCAGCACUGAUACUUUCAUUGAUGUACAUUGUAGUUCUUCGAGUGCUCAGUUUCCAGUAGGCUGAGUACCUGAAAA
rnacentral:lncRNA from 1 species